GGGAAGGUGGCUCAGUGGUAGAGCACUUGCCUUGCAUGCAUGAGGCCCUGGAUUCCAUUCCCC
rnacentral:tRNA from 1 species